rnacentral:rRNA from 1 species
CCUACGGGUGGCAGCUGUGGGGAAUAUUGCGCAAUGGGCGAAAGCCUGACGCAGCGACGCCGCGUGAGGGAUGAAGGUCUUCGGAUCGUAAACCUCUGUCAGCAGGGAAGAACGGUCACUGUGCUAAUCAGCAGUGAAUUGACGGUACCUGCAAAGGAAGCACCGGCUAACUCCGUGCCAGCAGCCGCGGUAAUACGGAGGGUGCGAGCGUUAAUCGGAAUUACUGGGCGUAAAGCGCUCGUAGGCGGUAUGUCAAGUCAAGGGUGAAAUCCCCGCGCUCAACGUGGGAACUGCCUUUGAAACUGGCAGACUGGAGUGUGUGAGUGGAUAGUGGAAUUCCAGGUGUAGGGGUGAAAUCCGUAGAUAUCUGGAGGAACAUCAGUGGCGAAGGCGACUCUCUGGCACAUAACUGACGCUGAGGAGCGAAAGCGUGGGUAGCAAACAGGAUUAGAUACCCUAGUAGUA